GGGUGGGUGGAUGGGACCGCGCGACGCGCGUGGGGUGGGUCAUGUGGGGGUGUAAUUCUGCUUUUCUACUCGCUCUUCACUUACCCAGUUGUGUUGUUGUCUCUCUCCUCUUUUGGUCCCACAUGUCGGCACCGCUGUUGUCACCGGCAGAAUGGCCGACUGGCCAUGGGCGGGCUCGGAGCCCUCUGCGAGCAGGUGAAGGAGCUUAAUUUCCAGGGGUAUGAGGUGAUUCUGGUCGCCUCCCGCGCCGCCGGCGUUGAGGCAGAGGCUCAAGUACGGAAAGCUCAUCAACAGCAGUUUCGCCGAUCUGCAGAACCCAUAGUUCGACCUGGAUGGGAAGGCAUGCGCUGCCGUCGGCCAGAGUGGCCUCAUGGCUAUCUACGAUACACUAUUUAG
rnacentral:rRNA from 1 species